GACGAACGCUGGCGGCGUGCCUAAUACAUGCAAGUCGAGCGAAUCAUUAGGAGCUUGCUCCUGAUGGUUAGCGGCGGACGGGUGAGUAACACGUGGGCAACCUGCCUGUAAGACUGGGAUAACACCGGGAAACCGGUGCUAAUACCGGAUAAUUCUUUUCCUCACAUGAGGGAAAGCUGAAAGUCGGUUUCGGCUGACACUUACAGAUGGGCCCGCGGCGCAUUAGCUAGUUGGUGAGGUAACGGCUCACCAAGGCGACGAUGCGGAGCCGACCUGAGAGGGUGAUCGGCCACACUGGGACUGAGACACGGCCCAGACGCCUACGGGAGGCAGCAGUAGGGAAUCUUCCGCAAUGGACGAAAGUCUGACGGAGCAACGCCGCGUGAGUGAUGAAGGCCUUCGGGUCGUAAAACUCUGUUGUUAGGGAAGAACAAGUAUCGGAGUAACUGCCGGUACCUUGACGGUACCUAACCAGAAAGCCACGGCUAACUACGUGCCAGCCGCCGCAGUAA
rnacentral:rRNA from 1 species